GAUGAACGCUGGCGGCGUGCCUAACACAUGCAAGUCGAACGGAGUCGUUUUGGAAAUCUCUUCGGAGAUGGAAUUCUCGACUUAGUGGCGGACGGGUGAGUAACGCGUGAGCAAUCUGCCUUUAAGAGGGGGAUAACAGUCGGAAACGGCUGCUAAUACCGCAUAAAGCAUUAAAUUCGCAUGUUUUUGAUGCCAAAGGAGCAAUCCGCUUUUAGAUGAGCUCGCGUCUGAUUAGCUAGUUGGCGGGGUAACGGCCCACCAAGGCGACGAUCAGUAGCCGGACUGAGAGGGUGAACGGCCACAUUGGGACUGAGACACGGCCCAGACUCCUACGGGAGGCAGCAGUGGGGAAUAGUGCGCAAUGGGGGAAACCCUGACGCAGCAACGCCGCGUGAUUGAAGAAGGCCUUCGGGUUGUAAAGAUCUUUAAUCAGGGACGAAACAAAUGACGGUACCUGAAGAAUAAGCUCCGGCUAACUACGUG
rnacentral:rRNA from 1 species